GGAUUUGCCUUUCCUGCACGUAAUGCCU
rnacentral:piRNA from 1 species